GACGAACGCUGGCGGCGUGCUUAACACAUGCAAGUCGAACGGAAAGGCCCUGCUUUUGUGGGGUGCUCGAGUGGCGAACGGGUGAGUAACACGUGAGUAACCUGCCCUUGACUUUGGGAUAACUUCAGGAAACUGGGGCUAAUACCGGAUAGGAGCUCCUGCUGCAUGGUGGGGGUUGGUAAGUUUCGGCGGUUGGGGAUGGACUCGCGGCUUAUCAGCUUGUUGGGUGGGUAGUGGCUUACCAAGGCUUUGACGGGUAGCCGAGCUGCGAGGGUGACCGGAUACGUUGGAACUGAAAUAAGGCCCAGCCCCGAACCGGAGGCAGCGGUGGAGAGGAGUGCACAAUAGGCGGGACGCUAAUGCGGUAACGCCACGUGGGGUGUGUCAGCCAUCGGGUUGUAUACUACUGUCGCCUGUGACGAGGCGUGAGUGACGGUACUGGGUGAAGAAGCACCGGCUAACUACGUG
rnacentral:rRNA from 1 species